rnacentral:lncRNA from 1 species
CAUAAUUCCACAUCUCAAGAUGAAGCCAAGUGACCCAGGAAAAAAGGGCGCAUGUGAGAGUGGAGCUGGAGAGAGAGCAGUCCCUAGAAAAAGAGUGGGGAUAGAAAGACUGCAUCUACUGAUUGCUUGGUACCUAAACAGCCAUGCAUACCGGUUGUCACAUGUCAUCUCUGGAAGAUCUGGGGUGGCCAGGUAUGUCCUGGUUCAGGACGCUCAUGCAGACCCAGGACAGCUUGGAAACCUGGUGCUACAAUUCUUUAGGUUUGGAAACUGAAACUUCUUUUGAUUUCAUGAACGUUUCUUUCAUUAAAUUUGUUGUCAUAAAAGACAUCAUUUUAAAAGAGCUACUUGAAGAAGGGCAGCAUGGGAAAGAACUCCUGGGUAUGUGUGCAGUUAAUUCAUCCAUGCUGAAAGUCUAUUGUCAUGAGCUCAACAAGACCAGAUGCAUACUGCUUUCAUUCUACGUUUUCAGAUAUGCCCAGAGAGAAUUGUAAUUGCUGGAGUUCACUGGGUACAUGUGGGUUAGUCAAAGAACAAUCUGGUUAAAAGCUGUUAUUUCCCAAUUCUGCAUCAUUUUGAAUUUAUCUGUAACAUAUACAGACAAAGAAUUUAAUUGCUGGAAGAAAAUCGAACUGUGUAUCAAACUACACAAGAUCUGAAAUAAAUAAUUGCAAAUCAAUCCCUUUUCCUACUUC